AAUCUAUAUAUAUGUCGUGUACAUUUUAUUAUUUUGUACAGGUUAUUACUUGUACAAAAACUUUGUACGAGUAAUUACUUGUAUGAUGCCAUCACACAAGUUAUUACUUGUACAAAUACAAUUGUACCAGUAAUUACUUGUACAAUUUUUGGUGCGAAAAAGAUAAUAACUUGUACAACACAAUAUCCUUGGGUUAUAUGUGUUUCUUCUUUUGGUUUUAAUGUUUUAUAUAAAACUCCUUUUUUUUGGUUUGUAAGUCAGGGAAUUUUUGUCAAUUGUUGGGUAUGUAUUUAUUCGUUCUUUUUUUAAUUUAUUCUUAUCAUGCAGCGUAUGUUUUUUAAA
rnacentral:lncRNA from 1 species